rnacentral:rRNA from 1 species
AUGGUAGGAUAGAGGCCUACCAUGGUGGUAACGGGUAACGGGGUGUUAGGGCACGACACCGGAGUGGGAGCCUGAGAAACGGCUACCACAUCCNAGGAUGGCAGCAGGCGCGCAAAUUACCCAAUCCCGACACGGGGAGGUAGUGACAAUAAAUAACAAUACGGGGUUCUUUAGGAUCUCGUAAUUGGAAUGAGUACAAUUUAAAUCUCUUAACGAGGAACAAUUGGAGGGCAAGUCUGGUGCCAGCAGCCGCGGUAAUUCCAGCUCCAAUAGCGUAUAUNAAAGUUGUUGCAGUUAAAAAGCUCGUAGUUGAAUUUCGGGGUCAGUAGGUCGGUCGUGCCACUGGUAUGAACUGGUUUUACUGAUUCCUCCCUCUUGAAGAACUGUAAUGCCAUUAAUUUGGUGUUGCAGGGAAUCAGGACUGUUACUUUGAAAAAAUUAGAGUGUUUAAAGCAGGCUUUAGCUUGAAUACAUUAGCAUGGAAUAAUGAAAUAGGACGUUUGAUCCUAUUUUGUUGGUUUCUAGGAUUGACGUAAUGAUUAAUAGGGAUAGUUGGGGGCAUUAGUAUUCAAUUGUCAGAGGUGAAAUUCUUGGAUUUAUUGAAGACUAACUACUGCGAAAGCAUUUGCCAAGGAUGUUUUCAUUAAUCAAGAACGAAAGUUAGGGGAUCGAAGACGAUCAGAUACCGUCGUAGUCUUAACCAUAAACUAUGCCGACUAGGGAUCGGAUGAUGUUAAUUUUUUAAUGACUCAUUCGGCGCCUUACGGGAAACCAAAGUGUUUGGG